rnacentral:rRNA from 1 species
GUUGUUGUGAGAAGUUCAUUAAACCUUAUCAUUUAGAGGAAGGAGAAGUCGUAACAAGGUUUCCGUAGGUGAACCUGCGGAAGGAUCAUUGAACACACGAUCCCCGAAAACACUGAGAACUGUUUUUUGUACCACGAGGGAUCGUGCCCGGAGGCACGAUCGUCGGUGUCGGAGUCUGGACUCAUGUGCGUCUGCCGUGAUCCUCUCGUUUUCUGCGUGGCGAGAUAAGCGACUCUGGGUUUCAUUCACCGUCGGACCGCUCUUUGACACGCUUGGCUUCGUGUCCUUGGGACGCAAAGUUAGGAGUGCGUCCCCUCCUCCGGGAGAAGGAGCCUCCGAGGGACUCCGUUUGUCUUGCCGCAAGGCUGGGCAGAUUUCCUGGGGCCAUCCUCUCCCGGGGCCCUUUUUUCCCUCUAAAGGAACUUUUGUUUCAACAAUAUGCGAUGGAUUGAAGGGGACUGAGGGUCUUCGCGGGACGAGAUUCUUUUCGAGCUCGUCCCGUGAGAUCCCCAGUCUUCGGAGUGUGAGAAAACAAAUGACUCUCAGCAACGGAUAUCUUGGCUCUUGCAACGAUGAAGAACGCAGCGAAAUGCGAUACCUAAUGUGAAUUGCAGAAUUCCGCGAAUCAUCGAGUUUUUGAACGCAAGUUGCGCCCGAGGCUCGUCCAAGGGCAUGCCUGCCUGAGCGUCCGCUCUGACCCACCCACCGGCCUUUCCUCCUCCUCUGAGUGGAGAGGCCAAGUGAGAGUGGAAUUGGUCCUCCAGGAAACUGCCUCUCGUUGAGAGGUCCGAUGGAUUCGUGGUGGGCUGAAAUGGAGAGCCGCCCAUCAAUUGUGCGCUCGGGGAGCAGCACGAUGCGAGAAGGUGCCGUCCUCUCUCAUUCUUUUUUGAAUGGAGACAGACUUUGGUAACAAAGCAUUGUGCCCCCUUUGCGCAGCCGAUUGCAUGGGAGAGCGAUUGAGCAUGGGAACGGGAGGAUUCUUGCAUUCCCCUUGCCUCGCAAGGGGAAUGCAAAUUCGGACUCGACGUUAUUCGGACCUCAGAUCAGGCAAGACCACCCGCUGAGUUUAAGCAUAUCACUAAGCGGAGGAAAAGAAACUAACAAGG